AUGAGUAAUUUGUGGCUAUUGUUUAGAUCAUAUUUGAGCAUUUGUACAUGUGUUGAGGCAUUUGUACAUAAUUAUACAAAAAGAGCAGGCAAACGGACAACAAACUGCGCCAAUACUAUUGGAAAUUUUACUCUUGGCUGUAUGAAAAAAAUGAGUUUCUGGAAAAACAAUAUGAAAAAUAUCAUCUGGAGCACGAUCUGA